CCUACUUUUCGUUUAUAAUGAAAGUCAUUUAUUAUUAAUAUUGGUAUGAAGGCGAUUUUGCUGGUUAGUUGUGUUCUUAUUAUAGAGAGUGCAGGAGAGCCUUGUUCUACAGCAGACCAUUUACCAGUGGUCAACAUAUGUAACAGUGAAACUGCGUUCGAAGAUGGCAGCAAUACUGUUUUAGUAAAAUCGGACAUGAGACAAAACUGUACAUGUGAACUUUCUUUAAACGAUCAAGAUCAGCCAUUUACUAUUAACUUUCAAAGAUUUGACGAUCAGAUAAAUUCCAUUCCGUCUAAUGCUGACUGCGGUUUGAAACUAAUGUUUAGUGUUGGACAAGAUAUUUUUGGGGAAGCUAACUGCUUCGGCGUUAGCAGUGUUUCAAAACUGAUUGUGAAAAAAGAUGUAAUGACAAUAAGAUCAAUGACUGUAAAUGGAACAUUGGAGGAUAAUGAAGGGUUUUGCAUUGAAGUAA